CACCGGCAGCUCUAGUGGUAGCAGUUUUUAUUGGGCCCUAAAGCGUCCGUAGCCGGUUUAAUAAGUCUCUGGUGAAAUCCUGUAGCUUAACUGUGGGAAUUGCUGGAGAUACUAUUAGACUUGAGACCGGGAGAGGUUAGAGGUACUCCCAGGGUAGAGGUGAAAUUCUGUAAUCCUGGGAGGACCGCCUGUUGCGAAGGCGUCUAACUGGAACGGUUCUGACGGUGAGGGACGAAAGUUAGGGGCGCGAACCGGAUUAGAUACCCGCGUAGUCCCUGAGCGGGCUGGCAAGG
rnacentral:rRNA from 1 species